AGAGUUUGAUCAUGGCUCAGAUUGAACGCUGGCGGCAGGCCUAACACAUGCAAGUCGAACGGUAACAGGAAGAAGCUUGCUGCUUUGCUGACGAGUGGCGGACGGGUGAGUAAUGUCUGGGAAACUGCCUGAUGGAGGGGGAUAACUACUGGAAACGGUAGCUAAUACCGCAUAACGUCGCAAGACCAAAGAGGGGGACCUUCGGGCCUCUUGCCAUCGGAUGUGCCCAGAUGGGAUUAGCUUGUUGGUGGGGUAACGGCUCACCAAGGCGACGAUCCCUAGCUGGUCUGAGAGGAUGACCAGCCACACUGGAACUGAGACACGGUCCAGACUCCUACGGGAGGCAGCAGUGGGGAAUAUUGCACAAUGGGCGCAAGCCUGAUGCAGCCAUGCCGCGUGUAUGAAGAAGGCCUUCGGGUUGUAAAGUACUUUCAGCGGGGAGGAAGGGAGUAAAGUUAAUACCUUUGCUCAUUGACGUUACCCGCAGAAGAAGCACCGGCUAACUCCGUGCCAGCAGCCGCGGUAAUACGGAGGGUGCAAGCGUUAAUCGGAAUUACUGGGCGUAAAGCGCACGCAGGCGGUUUGUUAAGUCAGAUGUGAAAUCCCCGGGCUCAACCUGGGAACUGCAUCUGAUACUGGCAAGCUUGAGUCUCGUAGAGGGGGGUAGAAUUCCAGGUGUAGCGGUGAAAUGCGUAGAGAUCUGGAGGAAUACCGGUGGCGAAGGCGGCCCCCUGGACGAAGACUGACGCUCAGGUGCGAAAGCGUGGGGAGCAAACAGGAUUAGAUACCCUGGUAGUCCACGCCGUAAACGAUGUCGACUUGGAGGUUGUGCCCUUGAGGCGUGGCUUCCGGAGCUAACGCGUUAAGUCGACCGCCUGGGGAGUACGGCCGCAAGGUUAAAACUCAAAUGAAUUGACGGGGGCCCGCACAAGCGGUGGAGCAUGUGGUUUAAUUCGAUGCAACGCGAAGAACCUUACCUGGUCUUGACAUCCACGGAAGUUUUCAGAGAUGAGAAUGUGCCUUCGGGAACCGUGAGACAGGUGCUGCAUGGCUGUCGUCAGCUCGUGUUGUGAAAUGUUGGGUUAAGUCCCGCAACGAGCGCAACCCUUAUCCUUUGUUGCCAGCGGUCCGGCCGGGAACUCAAAGGAGACUGCCAGUGAUAAACUGGAGGAAGGUGGGGAUGACGUCAAGUCAUCAUGGCCCUUACGACCAGGGCUACACACGUGCUACAAUGGCGCAUACAAAGAGAAGCGACCUCGCGAGAGCAAGCGGACCUCAUAAAGUGCGUCGUAGUCCGGAUUGGAGUCUGCAACUCGACUCCAUGAAGUCGGAAUCGCUAGUAAUCGUGGAUCAGAAUGCCACGGUGAAUACGUUCCCGGGCCUUGUACACACCGCCCGUCACACCAUGGGAGUGGGUUGCAAAAGAAGUAGGUAGCUUAACCUUCGGGAGGGCGCUUACCACUUUGUGAUUCAUGACUGGGGUGAAGUCGUAACAAGGUAACCGUAGGGGAACCUGCGGUUG
rnacentral:rRNA from 1 species